CCUACGGGAGGCAGCAGUGAGGAAUAUUGGUCAAUGGGCGGAAGCCUGAACCAGCCAAGUAGCGUGCAGGAUGACGGCCCUACGGGUUGUAAACUUCUUUUAUACGGGAAUAACGCGCCUUCCGUGUCGUGCUUUGCAUGUACCGUAUGAAUAAGGACCGGCUAAUUCCGUGCCAGCAGCCGCUGUAAUACGGAAGGUCCGGUCGUUAUCCGGAUUUAUUGGUUUUACAGGGCGCGUAGGCAGGAUGUCAAGCAUGCUGUGAAAUUUCCGGGCUCAACCCGGGCCUUGCAGCGCGAACUGGCGUGCUUGAGUCCGCGGAAAGCAGGCGGAAUUCGUCGUGUAGCGGUGAAAUGCUUAGAUAUGACGAAGAACCCCGAUUGCGAAGGCAGCUUGCUGCAGCGGAACUGACGCUGAUGCUCGAAAGCGCGGGUAUCGAACAGGAUUAGAUACCCUAGUAGUC
rnacentral:rRNA from 1 species